UACGGGGGGGGCAAGCGUUGUUCGGAAUUACUGGGCGUAAAGGGCGCGUAGGCGGCCUCUUUAGUCAGACGUGAAAUCCCCCGGCUUAACCUGGGAACUGCGUCUGAUACUGGGAGGCUAGAGUUCGGGAGAGGGAUGUAGAAUUCCAGGUGUAGCGGUGAAAUGCGUAGAUAUCUGGAGGAAUACCGGUGGCGAAGGCGGCAUCCUGGACCGAAACUGACGCUGAGGCGCGAAAGCUAGGGGAGCAAACGGG
rnacentral:rRNA from 1 species